rnacentral:rRNA from 1 species
CGAUGAUCUGGUGCUUGCACUGGUGAUUAGUGGCGAACGGGUGAGUAACACGUGAGUAACCUGCCCUUAACUCUGGGAUAAGCCUGGGAAACUGGGUCUAAUACCGGAUAUGACUCCUCAUCGCAUGGUGGGGGGUGGAAAGCUUUUUGUGGUUUUGGAUGGACUCGCGGCCUAUCAGCUUGUUGGUGAGGUAAUGGCUCACCAAGGCGACGACGGGUAGCCGGCCUGAGAGGGUGACCGGCCACACUGGGACUGAGACACGGCCCAGACUCCUACGGGAGGCAGCAGUGGGGAAUAUUGCACAAUGGGCGAAAGCCUGAUGCAGCGACGCCGCGUGAGGGAUGACGGCCUUCGGGUUGUAAACCUCUUUCAGUAGGGAAGAAGCGAAAGUGACGGUACCUGCAGAAGAAGCGCCGGCUAACUACGUGCCAGCAGCCGCGGUAAUACGUAGGGCGCAAGCGUUAUCCGGAAUUAUUGGGCGUAAAGAGCUCGUAGGCGGUUUGUCGCGUCUGCCGUGAAAGUCCGGGGCUCAACUCCGGAUCUGCGGUGGGUACGGGCAGACUAGAGUGAUGUAGGGGAGACUGGAAUUCCUGGUGUAGCGGUGAAAUGCGCAGAUAUCAGGAGGAACACCGAUGGCGAAGGCAGGUCUCUGGGCAUUAACUGACGCUGAGGAGCGAAAGCAUGGGGAGCGAACAGGAUUAGAUACCCUGGUAGUCCAUGCCGUAAACGUUGGGCACUAGGUGUGGGGGACAUUCCACGUUUUCCGCGCCGUAGCUAACGCAUUAAGUGCCCCGCCUGGGGAGUACGGCCGCAAG